rnacentral:rRNA from 1 species
AUUGAACGCUGGCGGCAGGCCUAACACAUGCAAGUCGAGCGGAGCGGCGGACGGGGAAGUAAUGCCUAGGAAUCUGCCUGGUAGUGGUGGAUAACGUCCGGGAACGGGCGCUAAUGCCGCAUCCUUUCAGAUGAGCAUGGGUCGGAUUAGCUAGUUGGUGGGGUAAAGGCCUACCAAGGCGACGAUGCGUCACUGGUCUGAGAGGAUGAUCAGUCACACUGGAACUGAGACACGGUCCAGACUCCUACGGGAGGCAGCAGUGGGGAAUAUUGGACAAUGGGCGCAAGCCUGAUCCAGCCAUGCCGCGUGUGUGAAGAAGGUCUUCGGAUUGUAAAGCACUUUAAGUUGGGAGGCGUUACCAACAGAAUAAGCACCGGCUAACUUCGUGCCAGCAGCCGCGGUAAUAC